rfam:Oryza glumipatula chromosome 7, whole genome shotgun sequence.
AAAGACUCAAUUUCUGGGUUUCCGUGUCUAAUGUUUGACCAUUCGUCUUAUUUAAAAAAAUUAUGAAAAAAUUUAAAAAUAUAAGUCACACAUAAAGUAUUAAUCAUGUUUUAUCAUCUAACAACAACGAAAAUACUAAUCAUAAAAAAAAUUUAUAUAAGACGGAUAAUUAAACGUUGAACACAAAAAGCCAGGAAUUGAGUCUUU